rnacentral:rRNA from 1 species
GACGAACGCUGGCGGCGUGCUUAACACAUGCAAGUCGAACGGAAAGGCCCUGCUUUCGUGGGGUGCUCGAGUGGCGAACGGGUGAGUAACACGUGAGUAACCUGCCCUUGACUUUGGGAUAACUUCAGGAAACUGGGGCUAAUACCGGAUAGGAGCUCCUGCUGCAUGGUGGGGGUUGGAAAGUUUCGGCGGUUGGGGAUGGACUCGCGGCUUAUCAGCUUGUUGGUGGGGUAGUGGCUUACCAAGGCUUUGACGGGUAGGCGGCCUGAGAGGGUGACCGGCCACAUUGGGACUGAGAUACGGCCCAGACUCCUACGGGAGGCAGCAGUGGGGAAUAUUGCACAAUGGGCGGAAGCCUGAUGCAGCAACGCCGCGUGCGGGAUGACGGCCUUCGGGUUGUAAACCGCUUUCGCCUGUGACGAAGCGUGAGUGACGGUAAUGGGUAAAGAAGCACCGGCUAACUACGUG